rnacentral:lncRNA from 1 species
AGACUUGAAUCUUGCCCACAUUCCUUCAGGUAUGCUACUGAAGGUUUUGUGGCAAAGUGCUAUUAGCAGAACAAAAAGGUUUUAACACCGUCUUGAAAUUUUUAUUUAUUAUCUGGUCCCAGGUGUGUAGGCUGUGAGUAUUUCAGUUCUAUAUGGGGUAUUGGCUUCUCAUGGUGAGCAGUUUUCAUGGCAUAUUAGAUACCAGAAAUGAGUAUUAAGGGUUAGUAUUGUGGUGGUAGGAUAACUGAAUUGGAACCGGAUCCAGAUAUUAUUUCUA